UACAGAGGGGGCAAGCGUUAUUCGGAAUUAUUGGGCGUAAAGGGCGCGUAGGCGGCUUGGCAAGUGGAAGGUGAAAUCCCUCGGCUUAACCGAGGAACUGCCCUCCAAACUGCUUGGCUUGAGACCGGGAGAGGUGAGUGGAAUUCCCAGUGUAGCGGUGAAAUGCGUAGAUAUCGGGAGGAACACCAGUGGCGAAGGCGACUACCUGGCCUGUUCUUGACGCUGAGGCGCGAAAGCUAGGGGAGCAAACGGG
rnacentral:rRNA from 1 species